rnacentral:rRNA from 1 species
UAGUCCACGCCGUAAACGAUGAAUACUCGAAGUAGCUGGUAUUGACCCCGGCUGUUUCUAAGCUAACGCAUUAAGUAUUCCGCCUGGGAAGUACGGUCGCAAGACUAAAACUCAAAGGAAUUGACGGGGACCCGCACAAGCGGGUGGAGCAUGUGGUUUAAUUCGAAGCAACGCGCAGAACCUUACCAACCCUUGACAUCCUGUGCUAACACCAGAGAUGGUGUGUUCCCUUCGGGGACGCAGUGACAGGUGCUGCAUGGCUGUCGUCAGCUCGUGUCGUGAGAUGUUCGGUUAAGUCCGGCAACGAGCGCAACCCACAUCCUUAGUUGCCAGCAGUUCGGCUGGGGCACUCUAGGGAAACUGCCCGUGAUAAGCGGGAGGAAGGUGUGGAUGACGUCAAGUCCUCAUGGCCCUUACGGGUUGGGCUACGCACGUGCUACAAUGGCAGUGACAAUGGGUUAAUCCCAAAAAACUAGUCUCAGUUCGGAUUGUUCUCUGCAACUCGAGAGC